UACGGAGGAUGCAAGCGUUAUCCGGAAUGAUUGGGCGUAAAGCGUCCGCAGGUGGCAAUGUAAGUCUGCUGUCAAAGCGUCUGGCUCAACCAGAUAAAGGCAGUGGAAACUACAUAGCUAGAGUAAGGUAGGGGUAGAGGGAAUUCCUGGUGUAGCGGUGAAAUGCGUAGAUAUCUGGAGGAAUACCGGUGGCGAAGGCGGCAGCCGGGACCGAGAUUGACACUGAUGAGCGAAAGCUAGGGGAGCAAACGGG
rnacentral:rRNA from 1 species